rnacentral:rRNA from 1 species
AGUGAACGCUGGCGGUAGGCCUAACACAUGCAAGUCGAACGGCAGCACAGUAAGAGCUUGCUCUUACGGGUGGCGAGUGGCGGACGGGUGAGGAAUACAUCGGAAUCUACUUUUUCGUGGGGGAUAACGUAGGGACACUUACGCUAAUACCGCAUACGACCUACGGGUGAAAGCAGGGGAUCUUAGGACCUUGCGCGAUUGAAUGAGACGAUGUCGGAUUAGCUAGUUGGCGGGGUAAAGGCCCACCAAGACAACGCUCCGUAGCUGGUCUGAGAGGAUGAUCGGCCACACUGGAACUGAGACACGGUCCAGACUCCUACGGGAGGCAGCAGUGGGGAAUAUUGGACAAUGGGCGAAAGCCUGAUCCAGCCAUACCGCGUGGGUGAAGAAGGUCUUCGGGUUGUAAAGCCCUUUUGUUGGGAAAGAAAAACAGCAGGUUAAUACCCCGCUGUUUUGACGGUACCCAAAGAGUAAGCACCGGCUAACUUCGUG